CGAGAGGUGAAGAUUGGGUUAUUCUUGCCUUAACCAUGCUUGAAGGUUCUGUUUGCCCAACCAAAUAUGUUACGAUUUACAAAACAGCCUUGAAAACAUCUGAUCUC
rnacentral:snoRNA from 1 species